rnacentral:rRNA from 1 species
CUUACACAUGCAAGUCGAGGGGUAACAGGGAUUGCUUGCAAUCCGCUGACGACCGGCGCACGGGUGCGUAACGCGUAUGCAACCUACCUUCUACAAGAGGAUAGCCCAAAGAAAUUUGGAUUAAUACUCUAUACGAUCAUUAACUGGCAUCAGUAAAUGAAGAAAACUCCGGUGGUAGAAGAUGGGCAUGCGUCCUAUUAGUUUGUUGGUAAGGUAAUGGCUUACCAAGACUUCGAUAGGUAGGGGUCCUGAGAGGGAGAUCCCCCACACUGGUACUGAGACACGGACCAGACUCCUACGGGAGGCAGCAGUGAGGAAUAUUGGACAAUGGAGGCAACUCUGAUCCAGCCAUGCCGCGUGCAGGAAGACGGCCCCACGGGUUGUAAACUGCUUUUAUACAGGAAGAAUUAUACCUACGUGUAGGUAUUUGACGGUACUGUACGAAUAAGGAUCGGCUAACUCCGUGCCAGCAGCCGCGGUAAUACGGAGGAUCCAAGCGUUAUCCGGAAUCAUUGGGUUUAAAGGGUCCGUAGGCGGUCUGGUAAGUCAGAGGUGAAAUCCUGCAGCUCAACUGUAGCAUUGCCUUUGAUACUGCUAGACUUGAGUUAUUGUGAAGUAGUUAGAAUGUGUAGUGUAGCGGUGAAAUGCAUAGAUAUUACACAGAAUACCGAUUGCGAAAGCAGAUUACUAACAAUAUACUGACGCUGAGGGACGAAAGCGUGGGUAGCGAACAGGAUUAGAUACCCUGGUAGUCCACGCCGUAAACGAUGGAUACUAGCUGUUCGACCAACAUUGGUUGGUUGAGUGGCUAAGCGAAAGUGAUAAGUAUCCCACCUGGGGAGUACGCUCGCAAGAGUG